rnacentral:rRNA from 1 species
UAGCAGCUGGAAACGGCUGAUAAAACCGCAUAAGCGCACAGUGCCGCAUGGCACAGUGUGAAAAACUCCGGUGGUAUGAGAUGGACCCGCGUCUGAUUAGCUGGUUGGCGGGGUAACGGCCCACCAAGGCGACGAUCAGUAGCCGGCCUGAGAGGGUGAUCGGCCACAUUGGGACUGAGACACGGCCCAAACUCCUACGGGAGGCAGCAGUGGGGAAUAUUGCACAAUGGGGGAAACCCUGAUGCAGCGACGCCGCGUGAAGGAAGAAGUAUCUCGGUAUGUAAACUUCUAUCAGCAGGGAAGAUAAUGACGGUACCUGACUAAGAAGCCCCGGCUAACUACGUGCCAGCAGCCGCGGUAAUACGUAGGAGGCAAGCGUUAUCCGGAUUUACUGGGUGUAAAGGGAGCGUAGGCGGCGGAGCAAGUCAGAAGUGAAAGCCCGGGGCUCAACCCCGGGACGGCUUUUGAAACUGCCCUGCUUGAUUUCAGGAGAGGUAAGCGGAAUUCCUAGUGUAGCGGUGAAAUGCGUAGAUAUUAGGAGGAACACCAGUGGCGAAGGCGGCUUACUGGACUGACAAUGACGCUGAGGCUCGAAAGCGUGGGGAGCAAACAGGAUUAGAUACCCUGGUAGUCCACGCCGU